CAAGACCGGUGCCAGCCGCCGCGGUAAUACCGGCAGCACAAGUGAUGACCGCUGUUAUUGGGCCUAAAGCGUCCGUAGCUGGCCAGACAAGUUCAUCGGGAAAUCUGUGCGCCUAACGCACAGGCGUCCGGUGGAAACUGCCUGGCUUGGGACCGGAAGACCAGAGGGGUACGUCUGGGGUAGGAGUGAAAUCCCGUAAUCCUGGACGGACCACCGGUGGCGAAAGCGCCUCUGGAAGACGGAUCCGACGGUGAGGGACGAAAGCUCGGGUCACGAACCGGAUUAGAUACCCCAGUAGUC
rnacentral:rRNA from 1 species